UGAUUACUCCUUUUUACCACAUUAAUUUUUGCUUUACACGGUUCUAACCCCUGUUCUUUAACUGGUUUAACACAUUGGACACAGGGUUUACGAAAUUUAAUUUGCACAUAUACUCAGUGCCGCCCUUCUCUUCCAAUAACAUUCAGUGCCACCCUUCUCUUCCAAUACGAACCUCCACCGCCAUUGACUAUGUUUGCUUUUUCUUUUACCCACUUCUUUUCGACUGUUAAUUAAACUUUCUCUACCCUCUCUACCCAUGCCGGUUUAGGGUUCCGCCUCUACACGAUGUCAAUUUCGAUAGACCACCGAUCAUCCUGUUUCAUCGUUGUUUUACUGUAUUGACUAUUUUCUGAAGCUCCGCCAAUCGGGUCCCAGCGUCAAAGCACCAAUGCUCCAUCGGACCACAAGUAGUUUAUAAGCAGUACCUUUUCCAAGUCUUCUCCAUCUUCGUUGUUAAGAAUUAAGAACUACAAUCAAGUCGGAACCCAUCAAAUUGGGGCGGAAAUAUGGAAUUCAUGCUCGAGAACCCAGCGGACAUCUUUCUAACCGAAGUGACACGCGACGACUUUUACUUUGAAGCCGACACUACUUUAAUCAGAUUUAAAAGAGGCAUGUAGGAGAAGAUUUGUGACCCCAGGGGGGGAUGACUUUGGGGGGUUUUCCCUUGGGUCCAAACGUAUACUGCUCUUUAUUUGGCGAGUGAGAAAAAAAAAUGAAAUAUCCUGCAAAGUCGUUUAAAGAGGCGAAGAACGAUGUCCGUUUAUGGAAAACAUUCGGAAGGAUUGUUCCAUGACUUACAAAACUUGGAACAAAUUAGGAAUAUGUCCCUGAUCAUGGAUUUUUAUGUGAUUUGUUAUGGGUUGGUCUUCAUAGAGAUGUGGAAGGAUGGGAAGAAAAUGAUGCUUUUGGGGCUGAUAACGUUGCAGUCUAUCUUGAAAAGCAUGAUCAUGAUCAUGAUCUUAUAUACACAACUCAGUAGGUAUACAUAACAGGUAUGCAUGACACAUGAAAAUCAAUUUUGUUUGAAUUUGGUUUAAUGUAUAUCUUUUUAAUUACAUAAAAUUAGUUGAUGUUAUUUCCUACGACUAUUUUAAAUUUUAAACGUCCGGUGACAUUUUUAUAAUUUCAUUGUAACAAUUUGUUGUUA